AGAGUUUGAUCCUGGCUCAGAUUGAACGCUGGCGGCAUGCUUUACACAUGCAAGUCGAACGGUAACAGGUCUUCGGAUGCCGACGAGUGGCGAACGGGUGAGUAAUACAUCGGAACGCGCCUAGUAGUGGGGGAUAACUACUCGAAAGAGUAGCUAAUACCGCAUGAGAUCUACGGAUGAAAGCAGGGGACCUUCGGGCCUUGUGCUACUAGAGCGGCUGAUGGCAGAUUAGGUAGUUGGUGGGGUAAAGGCUUACCAAGCCUGCGAUCUGUAGCUGGUCUGAGAGGACGACCAGCCACACUGGGACUGAGACACGGCCCAGACUCCUACGGGAGGCAGCAGUGGGGAAUUUUGGACAAUGGGCGAAAGCCUGAUCCAGCAAUGCCGCGUGCAGGAUGAAGGCCCUCGGGUUGUAAACUGCUUUUGUACGGAACGAAAAGCCUGGGGCUAAUAUCCUCGGGUCAUGACGGUACCGUAAGAAUAAGCACCGGCUAACUACGUGCCAGCCGCCGCGGUAAUUC
rnacentral:rRNA from 1 species